CACGUAGGGUGCGAGCGUUGUCCGGAAUUAUUGGGCGUAAAGAGCUCGUAGGCGGUGUGUCGCGUCGGCCGUGAAAACCUGCAGCUUAACUGUGGGCUUGCGGUCGAUACGGGCAUCACUGGAGUUCGGCAGGGGAGACUGGAAUUCCUGGUGUAGCGGUGAAAUGCGCAGAUAUCAGGAGGAACACCGGUGGCGAAGGCGGGUCGCUGGGCCGAGACUGACGCUGAGGAGCGAAAGCGUGGGGAGCGAACAGG
rnacentral:rRNA from 1 species